AGCGUUUUAAUAGUAGCUGUAAGUGGUACCACAACCCAGGUCUGUGAGCUGGGCACAAACAGCAGCUGCUGAAAGGAAGGUGCAUGCUCAGUGGAUCAACAGCCAGCUCUUGAUCUAAGCUAAUACUUCAUACUGCAGCUGGUACCCAGAGCAUGCUGCCAGAAGGAGGUGCUUUUUUCUGUACUACAUAAUUGAAACUCUGCUGGAGGCAGUGAUACCAGUUCCAGACAUGCUCUGGUGCAGGAAAGCAAAGUCUCUCAUAGAGGCUGAAACAAAGCAAAGGCAUUAUAGUUACAACUUAUAUUGGAUCAUGAUGCAUGUAGCUCUUAUCUCCGUUUCUCACAAACGGGUAAGAACUGCACAAAGAUUAUUAAACUGCACACAAUUCACUGAUCUGGGAUUCACACUUUGUAAGGAAACAAAACCAGGACAGUUCUAUCUCAGGGAUUAACUCUGCAAAAUAGUUAAUUUUGCAGGAGAGGGCAGACAUCAGAAUUCUCUUUUAGCAAACAGCAAGCAUUGACCAAAACAAGUAUGUGAGGCAGGCUGAGAUAGCAAUUUUUCCUCCCAGGACAAGCUUGUACAAUGGAACCCCUUAUCACAGAAAAAUACUAGAGCUGAUGAAAGUCCCUGCUUUCAUAUGAGCAAUCAGUGAGAGAAGGGGCUCCCAAGAUUUCCAUUUGGAGAUUAGAAAGCUGUGUACCCGCAUUCUUCAUACACAUCUUUGAAUACUUGACUUCAGCCACUGUCAGAGAUGACAGCUGUUCUGAGAGGAUGGUCAGAAAGGUAGAAAUGCUUAGCCAACGAAUUCAGGAUCAGAAAAAGCAAGCAAAUGCCCAAACCAUUACAGCAACCCAAGAAAUUAGCAGGAAGUCUAAGCUUCCCUAAUUUAGUAACAGCUAGUCACAUGGAGAGUCUCAAAUAAUACUGUAACUCCUUGUGUAAGCAUUUAAUAGCCUCCUCUUGGGUUACUGAGACAUAAAUCUGGAAACAUAUUUCACCAUAAAAGCAGUUUGAGAAAGAGGAAGCUCUGUGGUCAAUAGGACAAGAAAGUUCAGUUCAGGAUGCUCCAGUUUCUCAAUGCAUUGCAGCAGGUUACUUCAAGUAAGAUCCAGUCCAUUGCAACUGAUUAAUACAAUGGCCUGAAUUGUCACAGCAGAUACCAGGUUUUGUGUCUUACUGCACUACAGACUUACAUUCCAAGGUUCCUGUUACUGGAGGUUAGCUUGAAGAGCAAUUCAUAGCUAUUCUCUGGAAAGAUCAUGGGUAUAGGUUUUCUAGAACAAAAUCAUCACUAAAAAUUAGAUUAACAGAAAUAGAUGGUCAAAAUUUUUGCUGUAUAUUUUAUUUAAUGUAACAUAAUCCAUCAAAUAUCACAUCUACCAAUAACCCUCUAAAAAUCCCAUUCAACCUUCCUUCAAAGAAAUCUCUCUGGCCUAUCAGCUUCCCACUGCACCGUCACCUUUCCAGCCAACCUGACACAAAUCCA